rnacentral:rRNA from 1 species
CCUAGCGGCAGACGGGUGCGUAACAUGUGGGAAUCUGCCUUUUGGUUCGGAACAACACGGGGAAACCUGUGCUAAUACCGGAUAAGUCCUUACGGAGAAAGUUUUAAUGCCAAAAGAUGAGCCCGCACUUGAUUAGCUAGUUGGUAAGGUAAUGGCUUACCAAGGCAACGAUCAAUAGCUGUUCUUAGAGGAUGAACAGCCACAUUGGAACUGAGACACGGUCCAAACUCC